CUGGCGUCGUCAGCUGAACCCAGGAAGUAGCAGGGGACACGGCGAUGUAAACAAGUUUCUGUGGAUCCAACCUGGACCGAAGCAGAAGAUGGAGCCGUUCAGCAGAAGAACCGUGGACCGGAUUCACUCCGCGGUCCUGCUGGCGAUUGUGGUCCUGUCCUGGUCUUACGUCAUCUACGCCAGCAGGAUAGCAGCUCAUUGGCUGCUGGAGAAGCGGACCGCCGUCCUCCGGCAGGACUGAUGGUGCACCGGACUGUCGCCACGUCUACUUGGAAAGACAUUGACACUCAGGGGAUUUGGGUGAUGAGGAUCAACCCUGAAUAUCUCACACAAGUUGCAGGAAACGGCAAGAGACAGAGACGAAGACAAAGACGUCAACUUAGAAAGACCAGGAGAUUCCAGAGCUUUUGGCGAUAAGGGCCGACGCCGGUGUGGACGAGCUGUAAACAAAAACACUGAUAUUUCCACAGCAGACGUCACGUCCUGCCUCCUGCGGCUCUACCCAGGCUCCACCCCUCUCCUGACGAGUGACCCGGACCAUCUCCCGCGGCUUCUUCACAUGAGAAACACAAACUCCAGAAAAUGUCCUGACACUAUUUUACAGAGUUCGUGUCUGAAAACAGCUUAUGUUGUAAAUUUCAUUCUAUUUCACCCACUUUUAAAAUGUAUCUUUAUCUUUUAAAAUGUAUUUAAAGAUGAUUUGUUGUCAGUUUUUCAACGUUUUCACAGAUUUCUCAGAGAAUGUUUCACGGAUCUUGAUGACAAUAAUCAGACACGUUUAGAGAACUGAUAUUUACGCUCUAUUUAUAGCUUGAUUGAAUUGAUUGACUGUUUUUGGAGGAAUGAGCUCGACUGAAUGUUUUGUCUCAUUUUCAGCUCAUCAGAUUUUUGUGAAGCACUUUGACCUGCACUGACCUCACGCUGACACCAUGCACCUUUACAAGCUAAUCGUUCAUGCUAAGCUAACCAUCCCCUAUUUGUAUCUUCAACCUGAAAGUCCUGCUCCUGACGAGAGACAGACAUGUUUCCUGUUCUUAAAAUAAAUAGAAUUUUAUAAAACAGAA